rnacentral:rRNA from 1 species
UUACUAGAGUAGCACUCGCAUAUCAAUAAGCGGAGGAAAAGAAACUAACAAGGAUUCCCCUAGUAACGGCGAGUGAAGCGGGAAGAGCUCAAAUUUGAAAUCUUAAAGGGUUUCCCUUUACGAAUUGUAGUUUAAAGAAGUGUUUUCUGUUGAGGUUUUGGUAAAAGUUCUUUGGAAUAGGACAUCAUAGAGGGUGAGAAUCCCGUAUUUGACCCUUACUUUCAACUUUGUGAUACACUUUCAAAGAGUCGGAUUGUUUGGGAAUGCAGUCCAAAAUGGGUGGUAAAUUUCAUCUAAAGCUAAAUAUUGGCGAGAGACCGAUAGCGAACAAGUACCGUGAGGGAAAGAUGAAAAGAACUUUGAAAAGAGAGUUAAACAGUACGUGAAAUUGUCAAAAGGGAAGCGUUUGACACCAGUGUUGUUUUUCUGAAAAUCAAUUAAAGAACUGUUUAUGCUAAGCUGUUUAGACUUUAUCAGCUAAUCUGUUUAGUUUUGAGCUUUUCUUUAACGCACUUUUCAGUUAACAAGUCAACAUCAAUUUCUUUUGCUGUAAAAAAGCUUGAGGAAGGUGGCUUGAGAUUCGUCUUAAGUGUUUAUAGCCUCUUGCCUAUGCAGUCGGAGAGAUUGAGGUCUGCAGCGUAGAUCCUUCGGGGCUAAAUGCAUUUGUGCUAAGUUAUAGCAUUUCAUAGACAACUUGUUGACUAUGAUUUGUCUUGUAGCUUACUCGCUUAUGUUAUUUUACCUACGCUUAGGAUGUUGAUAUCGCGCUCUCACUG